rnacentral:tRNA from 1 species
ACCUGGCUGGCUCAGUUGGUAAAGCAUGUGACCUUUGGUCUCAAGGUUGUGAGUUCAAGCCUCAUGUUGGGUG